CAGUUCUUACUGCUUUUGUUGAUAGGUGGAGACCAGAGACGCACACCUUCCACACACCUUGUGGAGAAAUGACUAUCACAUUGCAGGAUGUGAAGAUGAUAUUGUGUUUGAGUUUGUCUGGUCAUCCGGUGACUGGGGUCGUCGAUGAGUCUACUUGGCUAGACUUGGUACAGGAGUUUUGUGGUAGGCGGCCAUCAGAUGCUGAAGUUAAAGGCACCAAGAAGACCUCAGGAGUGUCGACGUCUUGGAUUACGCAGAACUUUGGUGCAGGACCACCGCCUGAUGCUCCAGAUCAUGAGGUGGAGAUGUAUGCAAAGGUGUGGUUGUGGCACUUCUUGGGGGGUUUCUUGUUCCCUGAUUCC